rnacentral:rRNA from 1 species
GGGUUGUGAGGUUAAGCGACUAAGCGUACACGGUGGAUGCCCUGGCAGUCAGAGGCGAUGAAGGGCGUGCUAAUCUGCGAUAAGCGCCGGUAAGGUGAUAUGAACCGUUAUAACCGGCGAUACCCGAAUGGGGAAACCCAGUGUGACUCGUCACACUAUCAUUAACUGAAUCCAUAGGUUAAUGAGGCGAACCGGGGGAACUGAAACAUCUAAGUACCCCGAGGAAAAGAAAUCAACCGAGAUUC